CCGUUCACUCUUCAGCUCAAUUGUUGAUCAGAAACGAGUGACUGAGGCAGUGGAUGAGA
rnacentral:pre_miRNA from 1 species